rnacentral:rRNA from 1 species
CCCUUAGAUGUUCUGGGCCGCACGCGCGCCACACUGAUGCAUUCAACGAGUUUCUUCCUGGUCCGAGAGGAAUGGGUAACCUUUUGAAAGUGCAUCGUGAUAGGGAUAGACUAUUGCAAUUAUUGGUCUUCAACGAGGAAUUCCUAGUAGACGUAGUUCAUCAGACUGCAUCGAUUACGUCCCUGCCCUUUGUACACACCGCCCGUCGCUCCUACCGAUUGAAUGCUCAGGUGAGCCAUUCGGACUUUCAUCAUGCCGGUUUCCAGUUUUGAUGAAGGAAAGUCUUGCGAACCUUAUCAUUUAGAGGAAGGAGAAGUCGUAACA